CCUACGGGGGGCUGCAGUGGGGAAUAUUGCACAAUGGGGGGAACCCUGAUGCAGCGACGCCGCGUGGGUGAAGGAGUAUUUCGGUAUGUAAAGCCCUAUCAGCAGGGAAGAACAAUGACGGUACCUGACUACGAAGCACCGGCUAAAUACGUGCCAGCAGCCGCGGUAAUACGUAUGGUGCAAGCGUUAUCCGGAUUUACUGGGUGUAAAGGGAGCGCAGGCGGCGCGUUAAGCCUGGUGUGAAAGUCCGCGGCCCAACCGCGGGACUGCAUUGGGAACUGGCGCGCUGGAGUGCCGGAGGGGCAGGCGGAAUUCCUGGUGUAGCGGUGAAAUGCGUAGAUAUCAGGAGGAACACCGGUGGCGAAGGCGGCCUGCUGGACUGCAACUGACGUUGAGGCCCGAAAGCGUGGGGAGCAAACAGGAUUAGAUACCCGGGUAGUC
rnacentral:rRNA from 1 species